AGUGGCGAACGGGUGAGUAAUAUAUCGGAACGUACCCUAGAGUGGGGGAUAACGUAGCGAAAGUUACGCUAAUACCGCAUACGAUCUAAGGAUGAAAGUGGGGGAUCGCAAGACCUCAUGCUCGUGGAGCGGCCGAUAUCUGAUUAGCUAGUUGGUAGGGUAAAAGCCUACCAAGGCAUCGAUCAGUAGCUGGUCUGAGAGGACGACCAGCCACACUGGAACUGAGACACGGUCCAGACUCCUACGGGAGGCAGCAGUGGGGAAUUUUGGACAAUGGGCGAAAGCCUGAUCCAGCAAUGCCGCGUGAGUGAAGAAGGCCUUCGGGUUGUAAAGCUCUUUUGUCAGGGAAGAAACGGUGAGAGCUAAUAUCUCUUGCUAAUGACGGUACCUGUAGAAUAAGCACCGGCUAACUACGUGCCAGCAGCCGCGGGAAUACGUAGGGUGCAAGCGUUAAUCGGAAUUACUGGGCGUAAAGCGUGCGCAGGCGGUUUUGUAAGUCUGAUGUGAAAUCCCCGGGCUCAACCUGGGAAUUGCAUUGGAGACUGCAAGGCUAGAAUCUGGCAGAGGGGGGUAGAAUUCCACGUGUAGCAGUGAAAUGCGUAGAUAUGUGGAGGAACACCGAUGGCGAAGGCAGCCCCCUGGGUCAAGAUUGACGCUCAUGCACGAAAGCGUGGGGAGCAAACAGGAUUAGAUACCCUGGUAGUCCACGCCCUAAACGAUGUCUACUAGUUGUCGGGUCUUAAUUGACUUGGUAACGCAGCUAACGCGUGAAGUAGACCGCCUGGGGAGUACGGUCGCAAGAUUAAAACUCAAAGGAAUUGACGGGGACCCGCACAAGCGGUGGAUGAUGUGGAUUAAUUC
rnacentral:rRNA from 1 species